AUCAGGAUGAAUGAAAACGCCUAAAUUGGCUACAAAGUGUAAAUAGAAUAAUUUUGGUCAUAAAGUCCGUCUCAUCCAAAAGCUACGUACAAACUUGGUGGAUUUGAUGUUCAGCAGCAUCGUGGGAACCCCUUUACCAUAUCAUGAGCUGUAACAGAAGGCCGAGGCUAUGGCCAGACACUAGUCCAGCUUCAGAGUAAUGGAGCGCACUUGAAUCAGGAGCUGAAGUUGGGCUCCUUCAUGACCAGUAUCUGUGACGAGAGGUGCCUGGAGCUGAUCUACACUGUCAUGCCCAUCAGAUGUUGGCAAACACCUCAGAAGGGACAAAAGAUGGGCAGAAGAGAUGCUUUUGAAAUGGAUUCCUCUGACUGAAAGACAGGUUGAUACUGAGACCUUAAACUCAGCAUUACAAUUCCAAGACAUCUGUUACAUGUUGUCUUUUGUUAGUAUUGAAUCGAAUGGUACCAUCAGUGGGUGGGGCCCCUGUGUGUUCUUCAAACAUAUCAGGGAACGCCUGUCUUAUACAGGACAGGAAGGUAUAAUAUUUGCACAUUGCUAUAUUAGCAGUACAGUUCUACAGUAUGAUGUGAAGUAGGGUGUAUUCAACAUGGAACUGUUACACUUGAAAGUUAUCAAAACACUUUGUUCAGAAUGUCUACAUAAGUUCAGCAAUUUCCCUCUUCUCGUAUUAACUCUGUAGGCUACUGACAAAGCUUCCUCCUUAGAUUUGGCCAAAUAGAAUGCCAUUCUAGUUCUGGUUAGACCGCUGAAGUUGUAGUCUAUACACAACUUAUUUUUAUUUGCUCGGUAAGUGUAGACAUACUGUCUUUAUAAGCUCAUCAAUAUGAUAUUUACAGCAUAGAAUGUUUUUUCUUUAACACGAACAUAGGUUUUUAGGUGAUAAAUGCAUCUACACUCAAACUGGGCGAUGUCUGUGCAAUGUCCACACCGUUUGUAGGGAUAAAAGUAGUUUGGGGAUUUGUCCCUCUGGAAAGAUCAAACAACGUACUUAAGGAGAGACGACAUGAGACAAAUCUAGCCAGUUAUAGAAUAUUUUGUUGUAGGACAGCUGAGCUGACUCAAGACCGGGCAUUCAACUCGCAGUUGAUACCAUUUCCAUGGUAACGUGUAUUUACAUAACGUGACGAAACUAAGUUGCUAGCUACUUUCGUAGCAAGGUGUUGUAGAACAAGUGUCUUACGCAUUAAACACCCCGAGAAUCUCCCUGCCGAUAGGUACUUAUCACAGUGGGAGGCCUUUCUUUCUCUUGCUAGAACAAAAGCUGUACCUGCUGCGUGCCUACCCGGAAGCGAUGAACCUGCCUUCCCCUUCUCCUUGUAGAAGUGCAAUGCUAAUCGGUGGCCAACAACUUGACUUUGAGCCAAUCAGAGAGCACAAACCCUCACGUGGGGAGCCAACAGGAGUCACACUUUCUUUUAAUGUAUACAUCCACUGUUAAAUGUCAUGAGCCAGUCACACUUCAUAGGAAA